GAACGGGUGAGUAUAUAUCGGAACGUACCCAGUAAGUGGGGGAUAACGCAGCGAAAGUUGCUGCUAAUACCGCAUACGAUCUACGGAUGAAAGUGGGGGACCUGCAAGGGCCUCAUGCUUUUUGGAGCGGCCGAAUAUCUGAUUAGCUAGUUGGUGAGGUAAAGGCUCACCAAGGCAUCGAUCAGUAGCUGGUCUAAGAGGACGACCAGCCACACUGGAACUGAGACACGGUCCAGACUCCUACGGGAGGCAGCAGUGGGGAAUUUUUGGACAAUGGGGGCAACCCUGAUCCAGCAAUGCCGCGUGAGUGAAGAAGGCCUUCGGGUUGUAAAGCUCUUUUGUCAGGGAAGAAACGGUGAGUUCUAAUACAGCUUACUAAUGACGGUACCUGAAGAAAUAAGCACCGGCUUAACUACGUGCCCAGCAAGACCGGCGGGUAAUUACGUCAGGGGUUGCAAGGCGUUAAUUCGGGAAUUUACUUGGGCGUUAAA
rnacentral:rRNA from 1 species